rnacentral:tRNA from 1 species
GGGCAUGUGGUGUAGUUGGUUAUCACGCUCGCUUAGCAUUCUGGUUUGCGAGAGGGGUCCGGUUCGAUCCCGGACAUGUCCA